CAGAGAGGCUGGGUGGUACCUCAUCCUCAUGCAUAAUUCAAUAUCAGCAGCCUCAGCCAGGGGGAAUAGCCUAGUCAAUAGGGCUGGCCAGGACCAGUGUAUGUGGAGGCAUAAAUUACAGAGUGAAGAGACAGCAGGCAAAACAACCCACAGAGAGAACAGUAUUAUUCCCAUAGGUGCUGUGGUGGUGAGGGGAAGUAGCUGCAGCCAUGGACACCACCACCUCCAUCAAGAUGACCACUCUGGCCAUCCAGAACCUCUUCAGCUACGUGGAGGAGGAGAACCUGGCAGCGCUCAAGGCCCACCUGGACAAGUUCAAGGAGGUGGACGGCAGGAGUGACAAUGGUCAGACACCCCUGAUGCUGGCUUCGGAGCAGGGCAGUAUUGAGAUUGUACAGGAGCUCAUCAGGAGAGGAGCCAAUGUUAACCUGGAUGAUGUGGACUGCUGGUCUGCUCUGAUCUGUGCUGCUAAGGAAGGCCAUGUAGAGGUGGUGAAGGAGCUGUUAGAAAGCAGUGCUUACAUAGAGCACAGAGACAUGGGAGGCUGGACGGCCCUCAUGUGGGCUGCCUAUAAAGGCCGCGUGGAGGUAACCGAGGUUCUCCUUGAGAACGGAGCCAACCCCAACACUACUGGGCAGCAAUACAGUGUGUACCCCAUCAUCUGGGCAGCAGGCAGAGGUCAUGCUGAGAUCGUCCAGGUCUUGCUGGAGAACGGAGCCAAGGUCAACUGCUCUGACAAGUAUGGUACCACCCCUCUGAUCUGGGCAGCCAGGAAGGGCAAUUUUGACUGUGUGAUGCAUCUGCUGGAGAAUGGAGCCGAUGUCGACCAGGAGGGGGCGAACUCGAUGACAGCUCUGAUCGUGGCAGUGAAGGGAGGUUUCCCUGAGGUGGUGAAGGAGCUUCUGAAGAGGAACCCUAACGUCAACAUGACAGACAAGGACGGGAACACAGCCCUGAUGAUCGCUGCUAAGGAGGGCUAUACUGAGAUAGUACAGGACCUGCUGGAUGCUGGCACCUACGUCAACAUACCAGACAGGAGUGGAGACACGGUGCUUAUCGGAGCAGUGAGAGGAGGACAUGUGGAGAUAGUGAGGGCUCUGCUGCACAAAUAUGCCGACAUAGACAUCAGAGGACAGGACAACAAGACAGCCCUGUACUGGGCUGUGGAGAAAGGCAACGCCACCAUGGUGAGAGAUAUCCUCCAGUGCAACCCCGACACAGAGACCUGCACCAAGGAUUUAGAGAGCCCUCUGAUCAAAGCUACUAAGAUGAGGAACAUUGACAUAGUGGAGCUUCUGCUGGACAAAGGAGCCAAGGUGUCUGCUGUGGACAAGAGAGGUGACACUCCCCUCCACAUCGCCAUCCGUGGGCGGAGCCGCAGACUGGCGGAGCUCCUCCUGCGUAACCCUAAAGAUGGCCGCCUGCUCUACAGGCCCAACAAGGCCGGCGAGACCCCCUACAACAUCGACUGCAGCCACCAGAAGAGCAUCCUCACCCAGAUCUUUGGAGCCCGACACCUGUCCCCUACGGAGUCUGACGGAGACAUGCUGGGUUAUGACCUGUACAGCAGUGCCCUGGCUGACAUUCUCAGUGAGCCCACCAUGCAGCCACCCAUCUGUGUGGGCCUGUACGCCCAGUGGGGCAGCGGCAAGUCUUUCCUGCUCAAGAAACUGGAGGAUGAGAUGAAGACGUUUGCUGGCCAGCAGGUGGAGCCGUUGUUCCAGUUCUCCUGGCUGGUGGGGUUCAUGUCCCUGCUGCUGUGUGGUUCUGUAGCUCUGGUCCUGGGCUUCACCGUCGACCCCAAGCUGGCCAUCGCUGUCUCCCUCAGCCUUCUGGCCUUGCUCUAUGUCUGCUUCGUGCUGGUGUACUUCGGCAGUCGUCGCGAGGGUGAGAACUGGAACUGGGCGUGGGUGAUAAGUACCCGUUUGGCCCGACACAUCGGUUACCUGGAGCUGCUACUCAAACUGAUGUUUGUCAACCCCCCUGACCUGCCAGAGCAGACCACCCGCGCUCUGCCCGUUAGGUUCCUGUUCACGGACUACAACCGUCUGUCCAGUGUGGGAGGGGAGACCAGCCUGGCAGAGAUGAUAGCCACCCUGUCUGAUGCCUGUGAGAGGGAGUUUGGCUUCAUGGCCACCCGCCUCUUCAGGGUCUUCAAGACAGAGGAAUCACAAGGGAAGAAGAAGUGGAAGAAAACUUGCUGCGUUCCCUCCUUCGUCAUCUUCAUCUUCAUCCUGGGCUGCCUGAUCACCGGCAUGGCACUCCUCGCCGUCUUCAAGGUGGACGGGGCCAACCAGACGGUGAACGCCGUGCUGAUCGCCAUGGCCUGCGCAGUGGGCCUGGCACUGGUGCUCAACUGCCGGACCUGGUGGCAGGUGGCCGACUCGGUGCUCAACUCUCAGAGGAAGAGGCUGCACAGCGCUGCCAACAAGAUGCACAAGCUCAAGAGCGAGGGCUUCAUGAAGGUGUUGAAGAAUGAGGUGGAGCUGAUGGCGAGGAUGGCUAAGACCAUCGAUAGCUUCACUCAGAACCAGACACGUCUGGCUGUCAUCAUAGACGGCCUGGACUCCUGUGAACAGGACAAAGUACUGCAGAUGCUGGAUACGGUGAGAGUGCUCUUCUCCAAAGGCCCCUUCAUCUCCAUCUUCGCCAGCGACCCCCACAUCAUCAUCAAGGCCAUCAACCAGAACCUGAACAGCGUGCUCAGGGACUCCAACAUCAACGGCCAUGACUACAUGAGAAACAUCGUCCACCUGCCGGUCUUCCUCAACAGCCGGGGGUUGAGCAGCGCCAGAAAGAUGUGUGUGGCAGCGCCCGCUAAUGGAGACACCGGAAACUCAGACGGUUGGCAUGAGGAGCUGGACAGGAAGCUAUCCCAGCACAGCAUCGGAGAGAUGACCAAGUUUGGCAGCAAGACAACCCUGAACCGCAGGGACACAUACCGGAGACGGCAGAUGCAGAGGACGGUGACACGGCAGAUGUCCUUUGACCUGAGCAAGCUGCUGGUGACAGAAGACUGGUUCAGUGACAUCAGCCCCCAGACCAUGAGGAGGCUGCUCAACAUCGUCUCUGUCACAGGUCGUCUGCUGAGGGCAAAUCAGAUUAUGUUUAACUGGGACCGCCUGGCAUCGUGGAUCAACCUUACUGAGACAUGGCCCUACAGGACCUCCUGGCUCAUCUUGUUCCUGGAGGAGACUGAAGGCAUCCCUGACCAGGCCGCCCUCAAGACUAUCUACGAGAGGAUCUCCAAGAACAUUCCGACCACUAAAGACGUGGAGCCCCUGUUGGAGAUUGACGGGGAUGUGCGUAGCUUCGAGGUGUUCCUCUCCUCUCGGACGCCCGUCCUCAAUGCACGCGACAUCAAAACCUUCCUACCCUGCACCGUCAACCUCGACCCCAAACUACGAGAGAUCAUCGCAGACGUGCGUGCUGCCAGGGAACAGAUGAGCAUCAGAGCGGUGACCUAUCCCAGCCUGCCCCUGCAGGAAGCCGCUCUCCGCCCCACCUCCGUCUACAGCCAGCAGUCAGGCAUGUCCGCCUGCUCCCCCUCCACCUCCUUCAACGGCCACUUCAACUCCCCAGGGCUGGUGUCCCUACCACCCCACAGCAGCAACUACAGUGGUAUGGCUGGCCCCCAGCACCCCUUCUAUAACAGGCCAUAUUUUCCCCAUCAUGUUUACCAGCUGCCACGCCAGUAUGUGGGCAGUUUCCCUGUUCAUGCUCCCUCCACCACGCCCAUUCCCACUUAAAAGUGGCUUUCCCCGGGAUCCGAGCAGUGGACUCGGUUCAGCCUCGGUGGUGUCGGGGACCCCGGCCAUCCUCCUGAGCUCCAUGAACACAGACACAGUGUGUGAACGUGUCAAACAGAUCGAGGGUAUCGACCAGAGCAUGCUGGCCCAGUACACUGCCACCAUUAAGAAGGCUAAUGUGAAUGGCAGAGUUCUGACCCAGUGCAACAUUGAUGAGCUGAAGAAUGAAAUGAAAAUGAACUUUGGAGACUGGCAGCUCUUCAGAGGAACUGUGUUGGAGAUGCGUCACGUGGAGAGCCAGGUGCUUCAUGAGGAGGCUCCCAGCGAGGUAGACAGCAGUGUGGUGGGCCACGGGGAACCGAGGCGCCAGGUCGCCCCACCCCACGCCGGCGCCGCCAACCUCGACGCCAACUCACCCAUGUACAGCUUCAACCUGAGCUUUGAGGAACUGAGCAAUGUGGGACUGGACGAGCCUCCCAGGCACAGCAACAACACAUGGAUGGCCCCCACCCACCGCACCCCCAGCAUGUCCAGCCUCAACUCCCAGGAGUCGUCCAACGACAUCGUCAAGCUGACGGAAAAGCAGCAGUCGGAGUACCGCAACGCCUACCAGGAGUACAUCGCCCAGAUGGCCACGUUGGAGGUAGGCGGAGGCGGGGGAGAGAAGCCCGUCCAGCCCCACCCAAACCAGUUCAUGACCUCCGCCAGCUCUGAGGACAAAACCAAGGACAAGGCUACCACCAAGAGAAGCACCUCCAAGCUUCCCGCCGUGGAUGCCCCGGACUUCACCACCGCCGAAGCACCCCUGGACCCCAUCACAGAGGAGGACGAGAAGCAGGACCACCAUGGCUCCUCCAAGAACCUGCUCGGACGCAAGGCGCCCGGGUCCAGUGACCGGGGGAGCGGCCUGUUCCAGGGAGCAGCCGACCUCAAGAUGAAGACCGGCGGGCUGCCCUACCAGAAGCUCACCAGCGACGACGAGGAUUCGGAGAACUCCGACGCUCCUCUCCUGGGGGAUGCGAAAAAGCCAGGUGACCCCAAAGCAUCCUCCCUGGCUCUGGCUAAGGGUAAAGAAUACCUGUCUGACGCCAUGCUGGAUAAGAAGGAUUCGUCUGACUCCGGCAUGCGCUCCAACGAGAGCUCGCCCAACCACUCCCUGCAGGAUGAGGAGGCUGACCUGUCCCAGCUGGAGCAGGCCAACCUGAUCGAGCUGGACCAGGAGGACAGCCAGAGCCGGGCAGCCAGUAAGAGGGGUCUGCCCAGCAGCCUGAGUGGUCUCCAGGACCCAGCUGUGGCCCGCAUGUCCAUCUGCUCCGAGGACCAGUGCAGCCUGCUGGCCAGCAGCCCCGAAGAGAGCUGGCCCUCGUCCAAGAGCUACAACCUCAACCGCACGCCCAGCAACACCACCCUCAACAACAACACCAAUGCCCAGCAGCAGGGGAACCAGCAGCGUUGCCAGGGACAGAGGGCUCCGGUGGGGUCCACCGACACCACCUGUUCCACCCCUACUUCCUCCUCCAUCAGCGAGGUCAUUGUCUCCACGGGUUCCGGCACCACCAGUACCACCACCAAGCCCGGCCCGCACAACGAGAACGUGCGCGUGGUGCACCUGAAGAGGGGGCUGAACCCCGGGGAUCCUCCGGAGAUCACCACCGUGUCCUCUGACACCGUCACUUUCGGAGAGGAGCGCGAGAGCAUCCUGUGAGCCCCACGCCCAUCUCAUACCCAGGAGAGCACUUAGUCAGUAGAUGUUUGGUGUGGUAAUCUGACAAUGCAUGCGUAGCAAGGUACCGUAGCUAGCUAAAUGGGUAAAUAAAUGAUGUUAGUGCUUGGUGUGCACUAAGUAGAUAGCCUUGUUAAACCAGCCUGAUCUGGCAACCUCACCAUGUGUUACAGGAGAGCGCAGCGGUCAGUCUGGUUUCACCAGGCUACUAAGUAGAGGUAGCUCACUGAGAUGUUGUAUUCUGUAUUUGUAUUGUCUAAAGCGAAGUGAAGUGACCUCUACUAACCGUAGAUGUUCUCCUCUGGAGGUGAAGGUAGCUAGCUACGUACACUGUAAAAAAAGAUCUUUAGAUCAACCUAAUUUACUUCACCUCUGGUAAAAACAACAUUAUUAUGACAAAUAUAUGAGUCAAUGCCAACUGUUAUAUUUCAUUAUAUUUGAAGUUGUAACCUGUUUAUUUCAACACUAUACCUACAUUUCCCCUUUGGUUAAACUUAAUAUAACAAAUACAAAAAAUAUUUAACAAUAUUUGACAAUACAACCAAUAUUUUUCAUCUUGUUCCUAGUUCAAUUUUUACUUUGGAGUUACCUAUCCAAAUGUCUUCAAUUGUGUUACAAGCAAUUUAAAUCAACAACCUAUAAAAUAAGAAAAUAAGAUGUUUUAAAAUAAUGUUUCCAAACUUAAGACCUUCACAUUUAGUAACCACAGUAUCAUAACCAAGCAAUGGCUACCAUCACAAAGAAACAUUAUCAGGUGCUUUAGUAUCAUUACAGAUGAUGGCAGUGUACAAGAUUAAGUUUGAAUAACAAAUACAAUAGACCACCUCAACUGGAAUGACAUUCACUCUCAGGGGUGGGCAAAAAUAACCAACUGAAGGCCACGCCCCCCCAAUAAGCCACGCCUCGGUAACUCUUCUGAUAGGCUGCCGCUGCUACAUUGCCCCUACCGCUAUUCAAUGUGCAUGAGGCGUUGAAAGCAAUUUUCAAAUAAAAAAAUCACAUUGAUCUGACGAAUUCGUUAGUUGAUUUCAGACAAAUUGAUAGAAAUUGAAUGAACCAAAGCGUAAAUUUUGAUCAUUCCAAUCAGUAAAAGCACUUAACAGCGCCGUCCCAUUUUUUACAGUGCAGUAUAAUUUAUAACUUAACUACGUACAGUGACUGACUAACUAUCUGUUUAUUGUUUUGCACUACAACAAGCAUGGUGGCCUGGGUGGCAGUCUGUUUGUGCCAUCUCGCCAACUCCUUGUCAUGCUAAUGGCUUGACAAUGAGCAAUGGAGCUGGCAAGAGCACAAACAGAUCUGGGACCAGGCUACAAGCAUGCCUCAACAGUGUUAAUAUUAGCUGCUGCUGCCUAUGUGUGUCAACAAGUGAUGUAUUGAGCUUGUGGGUGGGUAAAAGAGAAGAUACCUGGUAUAGAUGAAGAAUGAAUGCAUAUGAACACGUGAGCCAAAUGAACAAAAUUGUGCGUGGGAUCUGUUUUUGUCGUGUCUCAGCAAAUGACAUGGAGGAGAGUCAACUGAACUAUUCGUCUCAUUGCAAAAGCCACCGGCCUUUUAACUAUUUUACCUUCCUAUGGGCCCUGGUCCAAAGUGGUGCGCUAUCGGUGGAAUAGGGUGCCAUUUGGGAUUGCAUCUCCUGCCAACACGAACAAAAAUGUUGGAUAAAAGGGAGGGACGUUGACACUAAUAUGCGACAACAAUAGCAAUUUAACAACAAAUUGACAACGAGAAGUAAUCUUCAGAAAAAGUUAUUGAUCGCUGCAAAAUUCAGUUGCUGACUCUUCGCCAUAUGAUACAUGGGACUGUAUGUAUGCUGCUUUGUAAUGAACAGUGGGUGUAAAGUAAUUUGGUUUAUUACAUGUUGUCAGGGCCUGUCUCCUCCCGUAACAGUAGUAGAGGCCAAUAGUAGAGGCCCCAUUUGUGAAUCCAAUGCCAUUAAAUGUACAUUUUAAUUAAGCAGAUAUAAAAUGUACACUUAAUGGCGUCCGAUUCACAAAUCUGGCCACAGAUUGGUGUUGCAUGCAUACCUAAUGAACUGUACAUUGCAUGCGUAAAUGAGUUUGCAAAUAUCAAAGAGUGCUCUCCUAUGUGUUGCAUGCACAGUGAUGUUGUAUGGUGUCUUAACCAGUCGGAUGAAGGGAAAGAAGGGAGUGGUGCCGUCAGACGUUAUCUGACUGAAAAAUAAAACCUGGAUGUUGACCUUC